GAUCCCGCCCAGAGCUCAGGGUCGCUAAACCCGCCUCCGAGGUCGGGCCAGGCCCGCAGACCGGAUUUCAGACGCUCUGCUAGAGCCUGGCCCAAGGAAGAGCCGAGCGCCUUCCAGAGACAAGGGACUGUCGGUCCACGCCGCCCUUUUGCGCCAGGGACUAGAGUGGCUUUGAGCCGCGGACCCGCUCGGGGACAGAAGCGGCAGGGCGCCUGGAGGGCAGAGCGAAGCCCCGCGCUCCCGACACCCCGGCAAGGCCGGCGACCACCGCAGCGUCCCCGCUCCACUUGCACACUUCAGAAAGCAGCCUGGACCACUGGGGCGGGGGCCGAGCUCCCGGGGCGGGGCCUCGCGAGACCCAAACAAGCCCCACGUGGCAGGGGCGGGGCCGCCGCGGGGACGUCACGGCGCGCGCGUGCGCGUGUGCCGGCACGCGCGGGCGUACCCUUGCCGGGGGCCGUAAAGCGCGGAAGGUCGCGGUCUCCCGCUUCCCCGGAACUUUUUACUCCCUCCGCCCCGCCCCCUUCCCAUUCCCAGUGCCCCGUUUCUGGCGGCGGGACCCCCGGCAACUGUUGUGGCUGCUGUCCCGCUGCCGCCGGGGUGCUGCUGACGGCGGAGCCCGCGGCGGCUCGUGAGUUUGAAUUGGGGAGAAUCUCCUCUUUGGCCGAGUGGGAGCACAUCUCCGAGCUGCUGACUGGCAGACGUGAUGUUUUCCCGGUUGCUGUCGGUGGCCCGGAGACAAAGGACCGGCCGAGGAUGGCAGAACUGGUCGUCGGGGAGAAGCGGUGCGCCAGCUGCCGAGGCGCAUUCUGUCGCCCUGCCUGCCCAGGCACACGUGGUCAUCUGUGGCGGUGGAAUCAUGGGCACAUCCGUGGCCUAUCACCUCUCCAAGAUGGGCUGGAAGGAUAUUGUCCUUUUGGAGCAGGGCAGGCUGGCCGCUGGCUCUACGAGGUUCUGUGCCGGCAUCCUGAGCACCGCCAGGCACUUGACCAUCGAGCAGAAGAUGGCAGACUAUUCCAACAAACUCUACCAGCAGUUAGAGCAAGAAACAGGGAUCCAAACAGAGCCCCUGCUGAGUUCCCUCCUGCGUCGGAUGCCAGAACUGGAGACUCUGGAGAUCGUGAAGUUGGUCACCUGCCUCGAGACCUGCACCCCAGACAUGAGGUGCAUCAUGGGCGAGUCUCCUGCAGUGCAGGGCUACUAUGUCCUAGUGGGAGUGAACUCUGCUGGCCUGUCGUUUGGAGGAGGGGCUUGAAGGUUGUCAGAGGAUGGUGA
rnacentral:lncRNA from 1 species